UUAUCGAUGAGGGCGAGUCGCUGGUCACGUGACGUAGAAGAGCAAAGAUGGCGUCCGUAGCAGAACCUCUCACUCUCCAGCAAGAUGUCAAAAGGGCUGUGGAACUACUGGAUAAGCUUCAGAAAACUGGAGAGGUGCCAUCAGCCAAAUUGGCAGCACUGCAGCGCGUUCUUCAGUCAGAAUUUCUAACGGCUGUUCGAGAAGUAUAUGAGCAUGUUUAUGAGACUGUAGACAUCUCGGGCUCACCUGAAAUACGUGCAUCAGCAACUGCAAAAGCAACAGUAGCUGCCUUUGCUGCAAGUGAGGGCCAUGCCCACCCAAGAGUUGUAGAGCUUCCCAAGACUGAUGAAGGAUUGGGGUUUAAUGUGAUGGGAGGCAGAGAACAGAAUUCUCCCAUAUAUAUAUCCCGCAUCAUUCCUGGUGGUGUGGCGGAUCGCCAUGGUGGUCUGAAGAGAGGUGACCAGCUCCUGUCUGUGAAUGGAGUGAGUGUUGAGGGUGAAAACCAUGAACGUGCGGUGGAGUUGCUGAAAGCUGCCAGCGGUUCGGUCAAGUUGGUGGUCCGGUAUACCCCUCGAGUGUUGGAGGAGAUGGAGAUGCGAUUCGACAAACAGCGGGCGUCACGUGGGGACUCUUCUCCAGGGCAGUUUUGGCAUCAAGAGUGGAAGUAAACUAUUUUCUACAUAUUAUCUAGUUUACUGUGAAAAGGGACUCAACUUUAGGGAUACCUUUUUCCUAGUUAAAGGUGGAGGACAGUGGAAUUAAAGAUGCCACAGCAGGUUGCAGCUCCAGACCAAAGAUGAUCAUUCUUUCCAAUUUGUAAUCUUUAGUCAUGAACAUUUUAACUCGUAUGUCUUGUGCAUCCAAUACCCCACCAGCCAUCCCUACCCCUCUCAGCUGGGUUUCUUGUAAUCCAUUGACAGUCCCUUUAGUCUGUUCCCGAGUAGAGAGAAAAAAAUCCUUCAGUGUAAUGUUGAUAUCACAUCCUGUGUUGUAAAGGCUUUCAGAAUUAGAGAUUGUAAUGUAAUAUUCUUCAUCUUUUUAAGGAUUGCUUAUUUUCCAGUUUUGUUCUAGUUUCGAUUGUUUUAGAUAUAUUUUUCAUCUUGCUAUACAGACUGAAAUUUGUAUAGAUUUAACUUCUUCAAAAAACAAAUUUUAACCCGAUUAUACCUGAUAUUAGGAGUCAGUGUUAUUUGUCAUUUUAAAACUAUUUAAUGUAUAUUAAUGUACUAAAACAUCAUUGAUGACUUUCUAUUCAAGAGUUUGAGAAAACCAAUAAUAUUUCAUGUGUAUGAAAGCAUGUGUGUAAAUUCCCAUUGUUCUUAAAGGUAAGGGCAGCUAUGAGAGUAUGUAUGAGUGUAUGCUUGUGUCAGUUCAAAUGUUUUUUUCAUUUUCUUUUUAAUUUUCAUUUCCUUGGCAUGAAUUGUUUGCUGUAAGUUUAACAUAUCAUUUUUAAAUAAAAAUACUUGCAUAUAGAAACUGGAUAUUGACCAAUCAAAAUAUGUAUCUGUGUCAUAUAUAUAAUACCACAUAAGUUAUGUUGGUUCAGUAAUGGAGAACAGGAUUGACACGUUAACUGUGUUCAGCUAGUCUUUAAAGAAUAUAUUUCAUGUAUUUUGAUUGCUAAUCUUAGUUCAUCAUUAUGCAUUUCCAUUUAUUGCAGUUAGAUUGAACGUUUGUUCAAAUUUCAUUUUUCAUGAAUAAAUCAAGAUUUCUGAUAUGUACUGAUAUAUUAUGAAAUGGUAUAGACGUAUAUCAAAUAUACUUAUAACUAUGAA
rnacentral:misc_RNA from 1 species